AGAGGAAGAGAUAAAGCUUAUUUAAAGGCCUCAUUUCCCAUCAUGUAUUGGGAUGAAUUUAAAAUAGAGAAUAGCCCAGAAACAUUGUAUUGGUCUUUCCUGGAUGAAGACUGAAUUUCUGCAGACUAAGGCCACUGGCGCUGUGGGGCGGAGGAUCUGAUUUGCCCACAUCUACUAAGAGCCAAAGAGGACGGUAUUGGGACUAACUGAAAUUGUACUCAGAAUUCUACCCAAAAGCUUUAGUCUUCCUACAGAAAUCUGUUCCUGAGAUUCAUCAGACAUGGCACUGUUGAAUACAUAUCUUGCCCAGAAGAAAAGACAAAGAUAUGUGCACACACAAAGAUGCAAGAUGAUUUAAAGAAAAAAUCAACAGAGUACUGAAAAAAAUAUACAAGUCUGAUCACAGGCUCCCUGUGCCCUCUGAACUGGAAGUGCUGAGAUUGGCUGUGGGAAGGGAUAUGCAGACAUGUAACUUACGUUUUGCAGCUGGACAUGAUUUUUCACCAAGUUCUCUGACUUUGCCAUCGUGCUGGAUGCUUUGAGACUGUAGUUUUUACCAUUAUGUGGCUCUUUCAGCUGCUCUUGAAUUUGUUUAGCUUGUUUCCUGUAGGUUUAAAUAAAUCCAUGUAUAAAAAGUUACAUAAAUUUAUUCUAUUCAUAUUUUUGAGGUCCAUUCAUUCCCAACAUCUAUAUUUGCUAAAGCUAGAUUAACUCAGUUAACAAGAAGAAUUCUCCCCUCAUUUCCAACCCCACCAAGAAAUACUGGUUUAUCCAUUAUCAUCUGGGAUUCACACCCAAUGGUGUUCCAAAGGCAGACAGAAAUGUAAUGUAACGUAUUGUCCUGGCCCUAUUGGAUACGAGAGGCCCCUAACCCUGAAUGCUCAAAUGCAAAGAAUUAGAAAUGCUCUGAAGAAGUGGUAAAUUGGAGUUCCCAUCGUGG